rnacentral:lncRNA from 1 species
AAGAUCCCUGUGGCUUUUGGCAAAUGACUGAAGUGUGGAUGCAGGAGCAAUGAGUGGAGGCCAACAUCAACAGCAUCUACCCUCCCCAAUAGUGUCUCUGUUCUGGGGGUGCUGUGGUCCUCACUUGCUGGCUUAGGAUUGGAGUUAGGCUGAGCCACUUUGAAGGAGUGUGUUUACAGGAAGAUACAAAUUGUUGGUUUCUCUAUUCUUUACUGUACAGUGUGUCCAGAGAGUAGAAGAAAAUUCCUGGGCCUGUCUGGUUGGUGCAGAGCUUUUAUGGCACUACAAGGUCUUCAGGAACUGUCACUGUAAGAGCCCUGGCUGUGAGCUGGGGCUACGUGACCACUGCAGCUGAGUUUCCAAGCAGGCCUGUGUUUGGAUCUGAGUUUGACGCUUGGCGGCUCCCAGGGCUUGGGAUGAGUGGCAGUGCUGACUUGUUCACUUGGCAGAGCCACCCUGUGAGGAGGUGGACUUAGUGGCCCUUUCCAAUUGAUCCUGUCCCAUCCAGGCAGUAUCAGCACUAGGAGCAGUGCUGGGUCAGAAGUCCGAAGGAAAGGACUCGGUUGAUCGGGGUCAUUGUGAGCUUGUGUAUGUUUGUGUAGAGAAAGCUGAACUUUGGGAGGAAAGGCCUUGUCCUUGCAGGCUUCCAAGACACCGCUAAGGUUAGCCUUUGGUUGGAGACAAGUCUCUAGCCCAGACACUGGAGUAGGCGCUGAGACCAAGAGGCAGGCCAAGAUGGAGAUCUAUGGAAGGCCCUUUGCUGGUAGGGAUUCAAAGCUUCUCCAGGGGACCCCAGAACUCUAUUAACUGGCUCCCCUACCGGGACAAGCUUCGUUUGUGGGCUCAUAGAGUGGCCAUAGAGUGGGUUUAACCCAGCACCAAGCCUGAGGGCAUGAGCAGUGGUCUAAAGUCUCACAUAGUCCCAUUUUACAGACUAAUUUGAUUGCCCGGCCGUAGAAUUCUACAGAAACAACAAUCACUGAAAUUCCUUAGAAUACGCAGAGGGAGGAGGUGACUCAACACGGUGCUAAACACAUUUUAUUAAAAAUAUAUAUUGUUAAAUUAAGUCUGCUGUCUGGACAAUGAUGUUCUGUUUUGUUUUCUUGUAGUGGAGUUUAAAAGAGACUAUUAUUUUACUCUGAUAUAUUAUUAUUAAAAAGGCAUUUUAACUUUGUACUUGAAAACUAAGUGAGCGAUUUCACGUGUUUUAGCUGAGACAUCGAAGUAGCGGGUGCUUACUUGUGGGAAAUCAUGUAUUCAUACUACAACAUAAACUCCGUAGCUGAUUUGGUAAUAACUUUUACUGUUACAGACGAAUUCGCUUUGACCCCGGUGGCAGAGCGCUUUGACUCCACAUUCCACGCAGCUAAGUGCAGGACCUUCCAGAACCUUCCCCGGUCCCCCCUGGUCCUCUUUCGGUUCCUCUUCCUAGCUCUCUCUUUUCCUAAUUCUUUUUUUUAAGAAUUGUCGUUUGUUUUUCCUGGUCCCGGCUUCCUUCUACCACUGUAUUUUUUGUUAGGGUUGCUUCUCUAUUUAUUGACAGUAAUAAUGUACAUUUCACAGUCUGGUUCUGGGACAGCCAGGAGGGGUGUGGGGGGCUGCAUACAGCUUGCUGCACUCUCCGGUGUCCUGUUGUAUCUCUGUGUACGUGAUGCUUGUGACAUAGCUGUUGAAGAAAUAUUAAAAGGUCAAUGCGUACAGCAGGUGUAGAGAGUCCGUCAGUUCCGCUUCAUCACUUUUUUUUUUUUUUUUUGUGCCCAGAAGAAUAUAAUAAAGCUCCUUUCUAAUGUACUUGUGCUGGAGAACACUUGAAUAAAUGGACUGUUUUUGUGCAAAAAGAAAAACGG